UCUUUCAAUGGGGGUUUGAAUUGCAACACUUCUAGAUAUCUCUCUUCUCGAUUCCAUCAGCGGCACCCGCUUUUCUCCAUCAUGCCUGCUGGUGAUGAAGAGUACAAAGAAGAAGAGAGAUAAGAGACUCUUCAUCCUCAUCUUCCGCUUUUUCUUGGGCAAGGAUUUAGCCAAGCUGAUGAUUCCUAGGUCUUAGGGUUUAGUGGGUCAUUUUCUACUGUACCUUGCCACGCUGUUAGGGUUUUAUGAGUUGGAUCUAGGUUUUGUUUCCUUGCCAUUUGAUUGUUUUUCUGAUUUUGGUGCUGAUUUGUUCUCUUUAGCUCAACGCUACUUUGGAAAGUAGUAUUCCGGAAUGGGCGUCAAGGGGUCUUAGCCAAAUGGUUGUUGAACUUCCUGAUUUUCUUAAUUUAUAGUUUAUUUAUUGUGACGAAUAUUUUCUACUUUUAAUCAAUUCUUUUUAUUGCUAUGUAUUGCCUAUUUAGAAAGCAAGUUUAGUUCUCUAUUUGAAGUGAAAUAUUUAAUAAAAUUUAUGCAUAAAAGACCCUUAUUUUCCUCUGGUUAAAGUUUUUUAGGACCACUAGAUUUAUUGAGAUGUUUUUUCAUGUAUCAAUCACAACACAAAUCGUUGUUGUUCUCUGAAAAAGGAUCUAUCUGCCAAUGAUAUGUAAUAGGCUCAUCCUUUUUUUUGUUAAGCUUCCCUGAUCAUAUUAGCAUCUGUGUUCUCAUACAUAACUUAAAUUUGAAUAGUCAAAUUCUGUGGAAGUUGAGAUUUGCUUCAUAUGUGCAAAUUCUGUUUUAGAUUUUCAUGUUUAGUUCUCCCUUCGUAUCCACAAAAUAUGAUUGCUAGAAUCAAAGAUUGAAAUACAGGAUUGGUAGAGCCAAAAUUUUUUGUCAUUUCACUUGCUGUAAUCCUGCAAGUAUCCGAUCAAAAUCGAACUCUAGGGUAACUGAUUGCUUUUCUAUAGUUCAAUGUUGAGUGUCCUAGCCCUUCUAUUCCAUUUGUUGAUUUUUUUUCCUGUUUCUUUUCUUAGGUGUCAUGUUGUUGUCUUACAUUUUCCUACUCAGCAUGUGCAUCUACAUCUAUCCAGAAGAGUUUACAGAAAAGGAUGAAGAUUUACCAUUAUUUAUUUAUUUAUUUAUUUAUUAAUUUUGUAAAACAAAUAUCCAUAUAUACUCUUUAUUACUAAUUGGAUAUUGGAAGUCUAAUGUUUCUUUAUUGGGAGUAAUAUCCAAUUCGGUGAAGUGUUUGUUUUACAUCUGGAGCCCAAAUUAGUAAGUGGUGCUAUAUUUGUUACUUUUUUUCUUGCGAAUUGCACAAACAUAUGACAUGUAAAUGUGUUGAUUAUAUGGUCAUAGAGAUGCACCAUGAUGGUCUUUGAAAUAUGUUCAUGCAUCAUUAGCACUUUUAUGUAACAGAAAGGAGUUUGAUUUAUAGAGUAUGUAAACCUACAUAAAUAUAUUAAUUGGUAUGCCUAUAUGCUUGUUCAUUUCAUGUUUCGUCAAACACCGCUUAAAAAGGGAGGUAAAUGGAUAGGAGUUGUGCAUUCCAUCUUCUUUCUUACACUGAACACAUACUGAAUUUGAAGUUGUUUGCUUUUGCUUCCUUGUCCGUCUGAUAUGGUUGAGCUGGCUGUAAAAGAUGGGUGAGGUUUACCUAAUCUACAUCCUUUUCCAAUCAGGCUAGUAGGUGACUAGUUUUGAUUGUGGCCUAAACUGUACAUAGGAUGGAAUUACCAUCAAGUCGAGGUAGCAUAUUAUUCAGUUGCAGCAACAUGUUUGAAGAUUCAUUUGGAAUACAGAGUCCUAAACAUAGAUGAGGUAGCUAAGCAUGAAGAGCUGAGGUGACAAAUGAUGGCAUUGGUUCAAAAGGAGCUUAUUCAUGAGAGGCUUGAGAGCAUGAAGUGUUGUGCAGUAUGAUGGUACUGCUACCAGAGUUCUCAUGUUGUUUGUCUUAUGCACUAUUCCUUUUAGUAGCAUAGAAGUUGGAGAAGGAUGAAUGCACAGACACUUAUGUCUAGACAUAUCUCCGGGCAGGUGCCUGAUCUAGCCAGUCAGCAAUAUUCUGGUCUGCGAAAUGAGCACUUCUCUACGUUCUCAGAUACAAAAUUUUGGUGGUCAUAGCAUGGACCCUGAUCUCUUCGCAAGAUGCGGCAACAAUACAUGUACAAAUUGUAUCUCAUGGUGUUCUAAAAAGCAACCUAUACAGUUGAUCAAGUUCAGAAGCGGAAUAUCAGUCCAUGGCCUACAUUACUACUAAGUUAACAUGAUUCACAUUCUUGCCGCAUGAUAUUGGCAUUCCCUUGGUUUCAUGUGCCAAUAUCUUGUGAUAGAUGUGUAUAUCAAUCUAUGGACUACUCACCUGGGCUCAUCAUCUCAUCAACAGAACAACCAUCAUCGUAGGGUUCAUUCGCCCUUCUGGAAUCAUAGUUCAUGGCAUCAUAGGUGGUUUUGGUGUAGCAACUGGUAGGCUCCUUGUGUGGGGACUGCUAUAAUCACAAAAUGAGCCCAAGCUUAUCCUUCGCAACCAAGAUUAAUAUGCUUGCACAGCCAGUGUUGAUUGCUACAGUUGCGGUGCUCAUAUGUGCUCUUUUUUCCCACCUCCCAACAGGGACUACAACUAUGGGAUCACUGCUGAUGGUGUCAAGGUUGAUUUACUGAACCAUCCAGAAUACCUUCAAUGGAAUGCUGCUUUGGCUUUCAAACUACUGUCUGGAUGUGGAUGAUCCCAAGGAAAAAGAAGCAACCUUCAGCCCAUGAUGUGUUUGUGGGUAGCGGGAAGCAGCAACCUUCAAACUGAUGACAUGACCAUAUUCUCCCACUGUCAAUACUACCUUGAGCUGAUUUGUGUUGGCGGUCAGUUCUCCAAGCAUAAUUUGGACUCUGCAGAGCAGGAGCCUUUCAAAUCAUCUUCUAAGUCAGCUUCCUCCUAAGCCCUUAGGAUGAGCCACUCUUCAAUGUGCUUGAUCAUAUGUAGGAACGCCAGCAGUGGUUCUUUUAUAAGUGCCAAUGUGAAGCUGUGUUAGUAUUUUGUUGUUUAUUAAAUUGGUCAAAUGUGUAUAAUACUGAGAGUUUGGUGUUUCUGUCUUCUGGAAGAAAUUGAAAUUGCGUUAAAUCAUUCAAAAUACUAACACGUUUAAUGGACUAGGA